UAAUACGGGGGGAGCAAGCGUUGUUCGGAUUUACUGGGCGUAAGGGCGCGUAGGCGGCGCAACAAGUCACUUGUGAAAUCUCCGGGCUUAACCCGGAGCGGCCAAGUGAUACUGUCGUGCUAGAGUGCGGAAGGGGCAACUGGAAUUCUCGGUGUAGCGGUGAAAUGCGUAGAUAUCGAGAGGAACACCUGCGGCGAAGGCGGGUUGCUGGGCCGACACUGACGCUGAAGCGCGAAAGCCAGGGGAGCGAACGGGAUUAGAUACCCCGGUAGUCCUGGCCUUAAACGAUGGAUACUUGGUGUCCGAGGUUACAUAGUCCUCGGGUGCCGGCGCUAACGCAUUAAGUAUCCCGCCUGGGGAGUACGGUCGCAAGACU
rnacentral:rRNA from 1 species